GUGCAAUCUUAUGUUAAAUGCAUUUGUAGUAUGUACUAAUUAUAUAGUAUUUAAACAUGUAGCCAUAAAACUGUUCAUUUGAGUUUCAAGGCAGACAUCCCUAAGAAGCCUUUUAAGAUGAGAUCUGAAACAGGAUGUAGUUAAGUGAAAAGUUCGAAGAAAGGGAGGAGUUCCAUAUAGGGAGACAUUUGUGUGAAGGUGGAUGUGAGAUGACCCCCAUCAUGUUCAGUGACCCCAGAAAGAGCAGCAUACUAGAGUCCCGAGGGCAGCAGAGACCAAACAUGCCCAGUGACAAGGUGGAGAGCACCUGCAGCUCGAUUGUGAAGCAUCCCGUAAACAUUUGCAGGAUUUGGGCAGAAAGAACCCAAAGUAGUUAUUUUAGCUAGGGAAUGCAAUUGUCGGGUUUACAUUAUGAGACAAUGUUUCUGUGGCUUAUUUCAUCAUUCCAAACAAAAGGUGCUAAUGGGCUGAAUAGAAUGGAGGUGGUGGAGAUGCCGAGAAGUGGCAGAUUGAAAACUUAUUAAAUUUUGUAGACUCUGCAGCACAGUGUUAUUUAUUUGUUAGAUUAUUUAUUAGUAAGGAUAGCAUGGUGUGAAGAGAGGAAUAAGGGUGCUAUCCUGGUUUUCGCUUUGCAGGGUGCUUCGUGGUGGCCUUACUGAAAUAAGGAAUGCCGAGAGUGGCACCCACAUGAAUGGGUCCUGUUUUGAGCACACGAAUUUUGUAUUUUCUGAAAGGCCUGUAAUGGAGAUGUUGAGUAGAUAUUUGGAUUAAGUGGGCGUUGGGACAUGCUAUAAGGAUACAGGGAGAAAUAUAGAUUUGGAAGGCAUUGGCAUGGAAGGGGAAUUCAAAACAAGGGAGUGGAUAUGAUUAUACAGGGAAUUAAAAGAGGGCUUACAUACAGACAUAGCCCUGAGGAACUUCAGUAUUCAAGGUAUGGGCUGAGGGGGAAGUGGAUUUACAGAGAAGGCUAGAGGAGAGAACCUUGGAACAGGUCCUACUGGAAGAGAACCUGUAAAUUGGAGUGUCCUGACAUCUCAGAGGAGAGAUCCUGUAGGAAAGGAAGUGCCCAUGGCCAUUGAAAUGCCAUUGAGAUGCCAAGCAAGAUACGGAUCUGAAAGGCCCUCUUGGAUUCACUGGUUAUUAGAGGCCUAGCUCCACUCUUCGUCCUGGGAAGGAUGAUGGUACAGAAACCAGAAUGGUGUGGGUGGAGAAGAGAAUAAAAAUUGAGAAAAAUAUCCCCAAAAGAAAGCUCCAGACCUAUCUGCCUUUGGAGGUAAAGUGAUAUCCAGGGAAAGAUUUUUGUUUUCUUUUAGGUUUUUAAGAUGAAAUAGACUUCAGGUAAUUUGAAUGCUGAAGGAAGGAAAUGGAGAGGUUAAAGUGUAGGUAUUAAAAAUGUGUAUUAUUUUAACCUUAACACAUCUGUUAAACCAUCAUAGAGACGAUUUCUCAGUAUUCCCUAAGUUUUCCUUUUACUGCUACUCAGAGAUCGUGUCCAAGAGAGUUGGGAAAACAGAAGGGGCAAAAUGGUACCUGUAACGACGGGGAGGCAAGAUGUUAUUUCAUGCUUGAUGCAAUAUCUUAGCAAUGUAUUACCACAGAUGUCAUAAGGCCUCAGUAACUAUUUGCUAAAUGACAGAAUAACUGUUUUGUACCUCAUGCUAUUUCUAAUGAAAAGGAAAAUAAUAGAAAAGGAGAAGAAAGGGGUUUGGAAGUGGGAGUGAUUGGGAUUCAGGGAAAGAAAACUGGUGGUGAGGAGAAGAAAGGAAAUGA
rnacentral:lncRNA from 10 species